CCUUUGUGAACAUACCUCUGUUGCUUUGGCGGCUCUCGGGGCCUCGCAGCCUCGCGUCCGCCAGAGGACCUUCAAACUCCAGUCAGUAAACGUCGACGUCUGAUAAACAAGUUAAUAAACUAAAACUUUCAACAACGGAUCUCUUGGUUCUGGCAUCGAUGAAGAACGCAGCGAAAUGCGAUAAGUAAUGUGAAUUGCAGAAUUCAGUGAAUCAUCGAAUCUUUGAACGCACAUUGCGCCCCUUGGCAUUCCGAGGGGCAUGCCUGUUCGAGCGUCAUUACAACCCUCAAGCUCUGCUUGGUAUUGGGCGUCGUCCUCUGCGGACGCGCCUCAAAGACCUCGGCGGUGGCGUCUAGCCCUCAAGCGUAGUAGAAAACACCUCGCUUUGGAGCGGUUGGCGUCGCCCGCCGGACGAACCUUCUGAACUCGGCGAGUGAAGCGGCAAUAGCUCAAAUUUGAAAGCUGGCCCUUUCAGGGUCCGCGUUGUAAUUUGUAGAGGAUGAUUCGGCGAGGGCUCCCGCCUAAGUCCCCUGGAACGGGGCGUCAUAGAGGGUGAGAAUCCCGUAUGUGGUGGGCUGCCUUAGCCAUGUGAAUCUCCUUCGACGAGUCGAGUUGUUUGGGAAUGCAGCUCUAAAUGGGAGGUAAAUUUCUUCUAAAGCUAAAUACCGGCCAGAGACCGAUAGCGCACAAGUAGAGUGAUCGAAAGAUGAAAAGCACUUUGGAAAGAGAGUUAAAAAGUACGUGAAAUUGUUGAAAGGGAAGCGCUUGCAACCAGACUUGUCCGCAGUUGCUCAGCCGGUCUCCUGACCGGCGUACUCUUCUGCGGCCAGGCCAGCAUCAGUUCGGGCGGUCGGAUAAAGACCUCGGGAAUGUAGCUCCUCUCGGGGAGUGUUAUAGCCCGGGGUGGAAUGCGGCCAGCCUGGACUGAGGAUCUCGCUUCGGCAAGGAUGCUGGCGUAAUGGUUGUAAGCGGCCCGUCUUGAAACACGGACCAAGGAGUCUAACAUCUAUGCGAGUGUUUGGGUGUCAAACCCAUACGCGUAAUGAAAGUGAACGGAGGUGGGAACCCGCAAGGGCGCACCAUCGGCCGAUCCUGAUGUCUUCGGAUGGAUUUGAGCAAGAGCAUA
rnacentral:sRNA from 1 species